rnacentral:rRNA from 1 species
UACGUAGGGGGCAAGCGUUGUCCGGAAUCAUUGGGCGUAAAGAGCGUGUAGGCGGCUCGAUAAGUCUGCUGUGAAAGUCCAGGGCUCAACCCUGGAAGGCCGGUGGAAACUGUCGGGCUAGAGUCCGGAAGAGGCGAGUGGAAUUCCCGGUGUAGCAGUGAAAUGCGCAGAUAUCGGGAGGAACACCAAUGGCGAAGGCAGCUCGCUGGGACGGUACUGACGCUGAGACGCGAAAGCGUGGGGAGCAAACAGG